rnacentral:rRNA from 1 species
UACGUAGGGGGCAAGCGUUGUCCGGAUUUAUUGGGCGUAAAGAGCGUGUAGGCGGCCACGCAGGUCCGUUGUGAAAACUGGAGGCUCAACCUUCAGACGUCGACGGAAACCGUAUGGCUAGAGUCCGGAAGAGGAGAGUGGAAUUCCUGGUGUAGCGGUGAAAUGCGCAGAUAUCAGGAAGAACACCCGUGGCGAAGGCGGCUCUCUGGGACGGUACUGACGCUGAGGCGCGAAAGCGUGGGGAGCAAACAGG